rnacentral:misc_RNA from 1 species
GAUGAAGAACGUAGCGAAAUGCGAUACUUGGUGUGAAUUGCAGAAUCCCGUGAACCAUCGAGUCUUUGAACGCAAGUUGCGCCUCAAGCCAUUAGGUUGAGGGCACGUCUGCCUGGGCGUCACAUAUCGUUGCCUGAUGCCAGUUUGAUCGUGAUGGGUGACUGUGCAGGGCGAAUGAUGGCUUCCCGUGAGCAUUGUUGCCUCAUGGUUGGUUGAAAAUUGAGUCCUUGGUAGGGAGCGCCGUAAUAGAUGGUGGUGGAGUGACGAACGAGACCCAAUCAUGUGAGACCCCUACCGAAUUUGGCCUUCAUGACCCACAUGCGUAUUUGGAACGCUCAUGACGAGACCUCAGGUGAGGCGGGGCUACCCGCUGAGUUUAAGCAUAUCAAUAAGCGGAGGA